GCGUGAGUGAAGAAGGCCCUAGGGUUGUAAAGCUCUUUCAACGGUGAAGAUAAUGACGGUAGCCGUAGAAGAAGCCCCGGCUAACUUCGUGCCAGCAGCCGCGGUAAUACGAAGGGGGCUAGCGUUGUUCGGAAUUACUGGGCGUAAAGCGCAUGUAGGCGGCGUAUCAAGUCAGAGGUGAAAGGCCCGGGCUCAACCUGGGAACUGCCUUUGAGACUGAUAUGCUUGAGUCCGAGAGGGGGCAAUGGAAUUCCCAGUGUAGAGGUGAAAUUCGU
rnacentral:rRNA from 1 species